UCUCUGGUGGUCCAGUGGCUAAGACUCUGUGCUCCUAGAGCAGGGGGCCUGGGUUCAAUCCCUGGUCAGGGAA
rnacentral:tRNA from 1 species